rnacentral:lncRNA from 1 species
ACACUCCAGUCUGGGGGACAGAGUGAGAUUCCGUCUCAAAAAAAAAAAAAAAAAAAAAAAUCAGUUCUGAAAUGCUACCUCUAAGCAUUUUACCUGGGCGAAACAGCAAGCCUCUGUCUCAAAAAAAAAAAAAAAAAGAAAGAAAUAGAAUUUGAGCCACAUAUGUAAUUUAAAGUUCUCUAGUAUCACUUUUAAAAAAAGAUAAAUUGGCAGAAUUGGUUUUAAUAUUUUAUGUAGCCAACUAUAUCAAAAAAC